rnacentral:tRNA from 2 species
UCUUCCGUAGUAUAGUGGUCAGUAUGUGAGCUUGUCAUCGAACAACGCUCGAGACCCGGGUUCAAUUCCCGGCGGGAGAG